rnacentral:RNase_P_RNA from 1 species
CUGACCAGGCAAAACGAUCGCUGGGUUUUUAAACCUGGAGGAAAGUCCGAACACCACAGGACAGGACGCUCCAUAACGUGGAGUCGCGGUGACGUGAAGGAAAGUGCAACAGAGAGUAGACCGCCUAAGCGACUUCGGUCGCCGGUAAGGGUGAAACGGUGCGGUAAGAGCGCACCAGUUUUUCAGGUGACUGAAAAAGCUUUGUAAACCCCGUUCGGUGCAAGACCAAAUAGGAAAAUGCUUGAGGGUUGUCCGCCCAAGUUUUCGGGUAGGUCGCAUGAGGUGUACGGCAACGUACAUCCAAGAUGAAUGAUCGUUGAUCUGUUUGAGGUAACUAGAGCAGAUAACAAAAUUCGGCUUAUCAACUGGUCAGGCCG